ACCGGGGCUAAUACCGCAUAAUCCCGAAAGGGGAAAGGAGCAAUUCGCUGAGAGAGGAGUCCGCGGCCGAUUAGCUAGUUGGUGAGGUAAUGGCUCACCAAGGCAAUGAUCGGUAGCCGGCCUGAGAGGGCACACGGCCACACUGGCACUGAAACACGGGCCAGACUCCUACGGGAGGCAGCAGUGGGGAAUCUUGCACAAUGGGGGCAACCCUGAUGCAGCGACGCCGCGUGAGCGAUGAAGCCCUUCGGGGUGUAAAGCUCUUUCGGCAGGAACGAUAAUGACGGUACCUGAAGAAGAAGCUGCGGCUAACUACGUGCCAGCAGCCGCGGUAAUACGUAGGCAGCAAGCGUUGUUCGGAGUUACUGGGCGUAAAGAGUGCGUAGGCGGUUUUCUAAGUUUGGUGUGAAAUCUCCCGGCUCAACUGGGAGGGUGCGCCGAAAACUGGAA
rnacentral:rRNA from 1 species